ACGCCGAUGGUGAAACGGUUAUCAUGCUUGCCUUCCAUGACGUAUAGCAAGCGGUAGGGGUUCGACUCCCCUUCGGCGUA